rnacentral:lncRNA from 1 species
GAUACUAACCAUAGUUUCAUCAAAACAAGCAACCAACUCAACAAAAAACAGAAUCUGUCAAAAACAUACCAGACUGUAGCAACCUGUAUACUUCGUAUACUUCAGGUACAUCAAAAAUUAUGAACAAUUACGACUUCCUGGGAAAAAGGCAUAUCAACCAGCAGCAAAAAGAAUCAACUCAAAAGCUCUUUCUGAAUAAAAAUGAAAAAUCA